AGUGAACGCUGGCGGUAGGCCUAACACAUGCAAGUCGAACGGCAGCACAGGAGAGCUUGCUCUCUGGGUGGCGAGUGGCGGACGGGUGAGGAAUACAUCGGAAUCUACUCUGUCGUGGGGGAUAACGUAGGGAAACUUACGCUAAUACCGCAUACGACCUACGGGUGAAAGCAGGGGACCUUCGGGCCUUGCGCGAUUGAAUGAGCCGAUGUCGGAUUAGCUAGUUGGCGGGGUAAAGGCCCACCAAGGCGACGAUCCGUAGCUGGUCUGAGAGCAUUGUCAGCCACACUGGAACUAAGUCACGGGCCAGACUCCUACGGGAGGCAGCAGUGGGGAAUAUUAGACAAUGGGCGCAAGCCUGAACCAGCCAUACCGCGUGGGUGAAGAAGGCCUUCGGGUUGUAAAGCCCUUUUGUUGGGAAAGAAAUCCAGCUGGCUAAUACCCGGUUGGGAUGACGGUACCCAAAGAAUAAGCACCGGCUAACUUCGUGCCAGCAGCCGCAGUAA
rnacentral:rRNA from 1 species